GCAGUGGCGAUAAGUUGCAGCGUCGCGACA
rnacentral:antisense_RNA from 1 species